ACGGCUCAGUAACACGUAGUCAAUCUACCCUAUGGACGGGAAUAACCUCGGGAAACUGAGAAUAAUGCCCGAUAGAACAUUAUGCCUGGAAUGGUUUAUGUUUCAAAUGAUUUAUCGCCAUAGGAUGGGACUGCGGCCUAUCAGUUUGUUGGUGAGGUAAUGGCCCACCAAGACUAUUACAGGUACGGGCUCUGAGAGGAGUAGCCCGGAGAUGGGUACUGAGACACGGACCCAGGCCCUAUGGGGCGCAGCAGGCGAGAAAACUUUGCAAUGUGCGAAAGCACGACAAGGUUAAUCCGAGUGGUUUCUGCUAAAGAAACCUUUUGUCAGUCCUAGAAACACUAACGAAUAAGGGGUGGGCAAGUUCUGGUGUCAGCCGCCGCGGUAAAACCAGCACCUCAAGUGGUCAGGAUGAUUAUUGGGCCUAAAGCAUCCGUAGCCCGUUUUGUAAGUUUUCGGUUAAAUCCAUGCGCUUAACGUAUGGGCUGCCGGGAAUACUGCAUAACUAGGAAGUGGGAGAGGUAGACGGUACUCGGUAGGAAGGGGUAAAAUCCUUUGAUCUAUUGAUGACCACCUGUGGCGAGGGCGGUCUACCAGAACACGUUCGACGGCGAGGGAUGAAAGCUGGGGGAGCAAACCGGAUUAGAUACCCGGGUAGUCCCAGCUGUAAACUAUGCAAACUCAGUGAUGCAUUGGCUUAUGGCCAAUGCAGUGCUGCAGGGAAGCCGUUAAGUUUGCCGCCUGGGAAGUACGUACGCAAGUAUGAAACUUAAAGGAAUUGGCGGGGGAGCAC
rnacentral:rRNA from 1 species